GCUGGCUUCUGCAUCCUUACUUCCUCAUUAGGGGGACUUCAUUAGCUCUUGAUGAUGGGGCUCGGUGCUGCCAGGGGUGGAGGAGAGGGGGACCAGCCAGUGCCCAGGCCAUCUGUGCUGGAUCUUCAGUCCCUCUCCAGUUCCCCUUCGUGGCCCUCUCACCUAGCCGGGCUGGGGGGAGGAAGGCUGGCCACUAUGGAGGACAGGUGCCAUGUGGAGCAUCGCUGCUGCUUUCCAUCAUUCUUCUACCAGCUGCUGCCUCUGUCACUGAAGCCUCAGUGCUGGGUCAGGAGUGAUGGCUGCUGAGCAUCCCUGAAGUGGCUCGGGGGUGGG
rnacentral:lncRNA from 1 species